rnacentral:rRNA from 1 species
GAUGAACGCUGGCGGCGUGCCUAAUACAUGCAAGUCGAGCGAACAGACGAGGAGCUUGCUCCUUGGACGUUAGCGGCGGACGGGUGAGUAACACGUGGAUAACCUACCUAUAAGACUGGGAUAACUUCGGGAAACCGGAGCUAAUACCGGAUAAUAUAUUGAACCGCAUGGUUCAAUAGUGAAAGACGGCUUUGCUGUCACUUAUAGAUGGAUCCGCGCCGCAUUAGCUAGUUGGUAAGGUAACGGCUUACCAAGGCAACGAUGCGUAGCCGACCUGAGAGGGUGAUCGGCCACACUGGAACUGAGACACGGUCCAGACUCCUACGGGAGGCAGCAGUAGGGAAUCUUCCGCAAUGGGCGAAAGCUUGACGGAGCAACGCCGCGUGAGUGAUGAAGGUCUUCGGAUCGUAAAACUCUGUUAUUAGGGAAGAACAAAUGUGUAAGUAACUGUGCACGUCUUGACGGUACCUAAUCAGAAAGCCACGGCUAACUACGUG